AGUAUGUAUUGGGCUGUAAUGUAUUACACAAUUUAGUGUUUGGUGACAGAUGACAUGCGAAAGUAUUGUAUUAUGUAAUACCUUUCCAUGUUUUUCCUUGUAUAAUCUAAUACAAAGUUUUUUUCUUGUAUUACCUAAUACAAUGCUCGAUCUUGCUGCUUCUCCCUGCUUCUCCUCCCCCAUUAAUCUCUGCCUCUGAAUUUUCAUAAUCUGUCUCACGUCGAUUGCAAGUAAGUCUUCUCAUUUUGUUCCUUUCUUCAUGAGAGCUGCUGAUUUGUGUUUCUUUUCCUUUGGUCGAUGGGGUUGGCUGCAACCACUGUGUUUUUUUUUUUUUUUUUUUUUCCCUUUCAUAACCAUAAACAGAAUUAAAGCAUUGCUUUUAUUAUUGUUGCAGUUAUAUUUUAAUGUUUUUUAUUGUCUUUUGUAUCUAUUGGGAAGAAUAAAACGAUGUAAUAUGAGUGAUAGCAAUUGUUUAAUAUUGCAUGUAAGCUAUUUGAUAAAUUGUCUAUGAGAAUUCAAUGAUUUGCCAA